rnacentral:lncRNA from 1 species
AAAUACAUAUAUAAAUUUAAUAAACCAAAAAAUAUUUCUAUUAGAACAAGAAAGGAUAGAGAUGAUAAAUUUAGGACCAGAUGUCUAUUCUGAAUUUGUAGAUCUAUAUGAAUUGAUAACCACUUACUGUUGCUUAAAGAAAUAAAUAAAACUCUAGAAAAAAUAAAAAAUAGAUGUAGAAAAGAUGGAAGAAGACAAAUACAUCCACAAUUAUGAAAAUUGGAAAUAGAAAAAAAUUAAAAGGAUCCGUAUGAAAUUAGUUAAAAGAAAAUAAGACAAAAGCUGUAAGUUACGAUAAUUGUAACUUAGGUAAUUCCAUAUUUUUAACCCCACUAAUAUUCAUAUUUACCUUUGUCUAUAUUUACGAUAGAUGAAUUUUUGUCUGUAUUUAUGAGAGAUGAAUUUCUUCCAUCAACCAUUUUUGUGAGAGUGGGUUACCACUAGGGAUGGCAAUGGGGAGGGGAGCGAAGGGGACCAAUCUCCCCGUACCCAUCCCCGAU